GAUCAACGCUGGCGGCGUGCCUAACGCAUGUAAGUCGAACGCAGCGCCUUCGGGCGCUGAGUGGCGAACGGCUGAGGAACACGUACGAACCUGCCCUCUCGUGGGGAAUAACGCCGCGAAAGCGGUGCUAAGACCGCGUACGCUGGGACCAAUGGUCUCAGGAAAGCCUUCGGGCGCGGGAGGAGGGCGUGGCGGCCCAU
rnacentral:rRNA from 1 species